AUGCCUAGUUUUUGGAUGCUGUCAAUCAGCUGUAAGUUCUAUUUGAGAGCAAACACUUUGUGAUUUGUACAAAGUCUUUUGGGACGAUAAGGAGAUUAACUUUAUCACAUGUGGCAGACUUAUAAGGAGUUGUAUUACUUAGGUAUACAAGUCAGAAACAUUCUUAGAUAAACUAGAACUCUUCUAGCUGAUUUAUGCACAAGUAAUCUUCGGUGAUAAAGUUCAUCUUUGAUAGGGUUUACUUAAUGGGAGGACUCCUAAUCAAAGACCAUCACCUAUAGUAUAUAACUGAGGUCCCUGUGCUCUCACUAAAUACCUGCAAGUAUACAGAAAUCCUCAAGCCCCAUUGAGUGAGCCUUGCUUCCGGACAGUGCAGAGACACAGAAGAGCCUCAGUUCUUUACCCUAUUUCUGAGACGAUGUCUUCAUCAGGUUAGUGGUUAGAUUGGUAUAUGAGUCAGUCGUUAUAUAUGUAUAUAACCUAAAGAAUUAACUUACAUUUGGUAUCAGAGCCCUCACAUAUCAUCUGACCCUAUGUGAAAGGCAUCAAGAAAUUUCAUUCUGUCUUGCAGGUUAUGGAACUGGAACUGUAUCAUCAAGGAAAAAUAUAUACAACACGUUCAAGGACGACUAAAGUUAUCCUUGAUCAUAAGGAUAUUAUGUUUUUCAAUCGAUACAUGUACCAGUGAUGGUGCUUAAAAUUCAAGACAUGAUUAUUGAUCAUCUAAAGAUGAUUUUUCUUUCAUGCUUCGAAUUUGAGCAGCAUAUCAUUUUAUAUAUAUAUAUUUGAAUCAAAUUAAUAUUGUCAAACCACAAAGGCUUGUGAUUUUAAUUACAGAAAUUCGAAUGUUGACUAUAAAAGUGAUAUGAUUAAAGAAAGUUUUCACAUAUUCAUCAAUCUAAAGAUGUUGAAGAUGUGAUUUAUGGUUUGGGGUUAAAGAUUAAUACUCUUUACAUCAUGAACGUUUCCUUUUCAGUGAAUCCCAGCUCUUUGAAUCUCAAUACAGUUGAGCCUCUUACUGGUGUCAACUACAGAAAGUGGAAACAAGAUCUCGAAAUCGUUUUGGGAGUUAUGGACUGGGAUUUGGCACUGAGAACUGAAGAACCUCCGGCACUCACUGAUGACAGCACUGCAAAUCAGAAAUCCAAGUAUGAAAAAUGGCACAAAUCCAACAGAAUUGCCCUAUUGAUCAUCAAAAGGAGCAUGACAGAUGUGGUGAGAGGUGGCUUUCCUGAUGAAGCAAAUGCAAAAGAUUUUUUGAAGUCCAUUGAGGCAAAGUAUAGGGAAUCACCAAAAACUGAGACAGGUAAUCUCAUGAAUGCUCUCACUACCAUGAGAUAUGAUGGGGUUCAAAGUUUGUGAGAAUACAUAUUGAAAAUGGUGGACGUUGUUGCUGGAAAACUCAAUGCACUCGAGGUACCAAUUUCUGAUACUUUUCUGGUACAUGUCAUUAUGAAUUCUCUGCCUGAAAGUUAUACACAACUCAAAGUUUAUUAUAAUGGUCUACGUGAGAAAUGGGAUGUGAAUGAAUUGAUAGCUAUUUGUGUGAGUGAAGAAGAAAGGAUGAAGAAAGAAAGGUUUGAGAAAGAGAGAAUUGAGUCUGUGAACCUUGUCCAAAGUGUCACUAGGGCCACUAAAUUUCAUGUUCCCGAUACUGCCAAAAAGGAUUCUACCAAGUCAGUUCCCUCUCCUAAAAGAAACUUCAAGCUUAAUAAACUUUCAGUUUUCAAGUGCUAUUUUUGCAAAAAGGCAGGCCACAUGAAGAAAAGCUGUCCCAAAUAUAAGGCUUGGCUUGCCAAACAAGAAGCAAAGAAAGGUAAAAAUGUUUUUGCUUGUUUUGAAUCAAAUUUAAUUAACAUACCCAGCACUGAAUGGUGGCUUGACUCGGGCUCUUCUAUACAUGUUACAACUUCAUUACAAGACUUCACAACAUGGAGAACACCAAAUAAGGAUGAAGUCAAAGUUUCGGUUGGCAAUGGAAGAAGAGUUGAAGUCAAAGCCCUAGGAAGUGUUAGACUAAAGCUAGAAUUUGGUUUUUAUUUAGAGUUAGAUAACGUGUUUAUGUGCCUUCCAUGAAAAGGAAGUUGAUUUCUAUUUCAAAGCUAGUGUUAUUGGGUUUUUAUUUUACUAUUAAUAAAAGGGGCUUUAACGUUUUUUAUGAAUCUUCUCAAGUAGGACAUGGUUUCAUGAGUGAUGGUAUGUUUCAACUUAAAUUAAAUCAAACUGAAUAUGUUUUCAACGUACAAGAUGAUAAAAUCAAAACUCAACAGUCUUCAAUAUUAUGGCAUAAGAGACUCGGCCAUAUUUCUAAACAAAGAAUGGAGCUGCUUGUCAAAAACGAAAUUCUACCUCCAUUAAACUUCAAUGACUUUGAAUUUUGUGUGGAUUGCAUUAAAGGGAAAAUGACAAACACUAGAAAGGAAGGCUCAACUAGGAGUAAGCAACCCUUAGAGAUCAUUCACACGGACAUUUGUGGUCCUUUUCCCACACAAACCUUAGAAGGAAACAAAUAUUUCAUUACUUAUAUUGAUGAUUUCUCAAGAUUUUGCUUCAUUUAUUUGAUUUCAGAAAAGUCUAAAGCACUUGAAACUUUUUAAAAUUUAUAAAAGUGAAGUCGAAAAUCAAUUGGAAAGGAACAUUAAGGUUGUAAGAUCUGAUAGGGGAGGGGAGUACUAUGGUAGAUAUACUGAAAUUGGUAGAAAUCCUGGACCUUUUGCGUUAUUUCUGCAAGAACAUGGAAUUGUAGCCCAAUAUACCACACCAGGUACUCCGGAGCAAAACGGAGUAGCCGAGAGGAGGAAUAGAACUCUCAUGGACAUGGUAAGGAGCAUGAUUUGUAGAACUAAUCUGCCAAGUUGUUUGUGGGGAGAAGCAGUGAAAACUGCAAAUUAUAUAUUUAAAUAGGGUACCUUCUAAAUCUGUGGAAGGGACACCUUUCGAACUAUGGACAGGCAGAAAACCGAGUUUAAACCACUUGCAUGUAUGGGGCUGUAGAGCAGAGGCAAAGAUAUAUAAUCCAGGCUACAAGAAACUUGAUUCAAAGACUGUCAGUUGUCGUUUUAUUGGAUAUGCUGAAAGGUCGAAGGGUUUUAGAUUUUAUUGCCCUAACCAAAAUACAAGAAUUGUCGAAACUGGAAAAGCAGUUUUCAUGGAGUCUGAUGCAAGCGUCGAUUCUGGGACAAGGGUUGAAGGGUUUGUAUUUGAAGAAGAAAUAAACAAUCAAGAAGCAGCAGUUGAAGACGUUGAUCGUAACACAGCGAUUAUGGCACCGAUAGUUGUAGUAACCGAGAUAAUGGGAAGCAAUGAUUCUGAUGAACCAAGUCACGAGAUAGAGGUUGCACAUGACAUCGAACUGCACGAUAACACUGUUGUACAAGACGUGUUUGAAGAGGUUGUGACAGAAAAUCAACAACAACAACACCAUGCACAUGAAGACAACAUCACGGCUGCGGGUGCUGCAAAUAUAAGAAUGUCAUCUAGGGUUAGAAAACCUACAACCCUAAAUGAUUUCGUAUAUUUGACACAGGUUGACACUGAUCUUUCAGAGUUUAAUGAUCCGAUGAGUUACAAAGAAGCAAUUGCAGGACCAGAUGCUGAUAAAUGGAUAGAAGCCAUGAAGAGUGAACUGAGUUCGAUGGCAAACAAUCAAGUGUGGGAUCUAGUGGAACAGGCAGAAGGAUCAAAACCCAUAAGAUGCAAAUGGGUUUUCAAAACAAAAAAGGAUUCAAACGGAAACAUAGAAAGGCACAAAGCCAGGCUUGUUGCGAAAGGCUUCACGCAAAAGGAGGGUGUAGACUACAAAGAAACAUUCAGCCCCGUGUCGACAAAAGAUGCGUUUAGGGUUAUUAUGUCUAUGGUGGCUCAUUUUGAUUUGAUUUUACAUCAAAUGGAUGUAAAAACGGCGUUCUUGAAUGGGGACCUGGAAGAAUGCAUUUACAUGCGUCAACCAGAAGGUUUCAAGGAGGGAGAAGGAAGAAACCUAGUGUGCAAACUCAACAAAUCCAUAUAUGGAUUGAAGCAAGCAUCACGGCAAUGGUACUUGAAAUUUCAUAGAAUUGUGAAAGAACAUGGCUUCACCGAGAAUCCUUCAGACAAUUGCAUUUAUCUGAAGUUCAGUGGUAGCAACUUUAUCAUCCUAGUUCUCUAUGUGGAUGAUAUAUUACUUGCCACGAAUUCUCACAGUUUGUUGGAUGAUACAAAAACUUUUUUGCAGAAGCAUUUUGAAAUGAAAGACAUGGGAGAAGCGACAUAUGUUUUGGGCAUUGAGAUCAAAAGGGAUAGAAUGAGAGGUUUGCUAGGCUUGUCACAGAAAGCAUACAUAGAGAAAAUGUUAAGAAGGUUUAAUAUGUCUUCGUGUGGAACUACUGAGAUGCCUAUAUCGAAGGGUGAUAAAUUGAGUAAGCAGCAGUGUCCACAAACAGACUUAGAGAGGAAGGCUAUGGAUGACAAACCAUACGCCUCCCUGGUGGGAAGUUUAAUGUAUGCACAGGUGUGCACAAGGCCUGACUUGGCUUUCACCAUUUCCGUGCUUGGGAGGUUUCAAUCCAAUGCAGGUGAAGCUCACUGGAAUGCUGCCAAAAGAGUUUUGAGAUACCUUCAGAGAACCAAGGACCAUAUGUUGGUGUAUAAAAGAACCGAGAGUUUGGUUUUGGAAGGGUAUAGUGAUUCUGAUUUUGCCGGUUGUCCAGAUGAUAUGAAGUCAACUACAGGUUAUGUUUUCUUAAUGGCAUGUGGUGCGGUUUCUUGGAAGUCUGUCAAACAAGGAACUGUGGCAGCGUCAACAAUGGUUGCAGAGUAUUUAUCAGUCUGUGAAACAGUGAAUCAAGCUGUUUGGUUGAAGAAUUUCAUAGUUGGGCUUCAAGUAGUGGACUCUAUAUCGAGACCUAUACAGAUUUUCUGUGAUAAUAAUGCAGCCAUAUUCUUUACUAAAAAUAAUAAGAGAUCUAAUGCAACAAGGAAUUUGGAUAUAAAAUAUCUCAUUGCUCGAGAGAAGGUGAUGGCCGGUUUAGUUAAGGUUGAUUAUUUGGAGACUGGAUCCAUGAUCGCUGAUCCGUUAAAUAAAGCAGUUCCCACCAUCGUUUUCAAGAAGCAUGUCACUAGCAUGGGAGUCUUGGCUGGUUUUGAUGCAGCGAAUUAGUGGGAGCUAUGCAACAGGUUUCAACUUUUAUGCUAGUUUUCAUUCAAUAGCAAUUUAUGUUAUAGAGGAUAAGUUUGAGUAUUAACAAUGAAGUUUUCUUAGCUAAUAAAGAAUAAAGCUGAAAGGUUGUUCAAGUUUCCUUAAAGGGUUCAGUUUUUAGCUAUGAUAAUGCAUGAAUAUUUUGCAUGCUGUUUAUGAUUUUUAUUCAUUACACAGUGUCGGACAACCUGAGGGCUUUAUAUAGAAGCACAUGGAUCGUUUUGAUUCUGAAAGGGACCAAAUGUUAGACAUAAUUAAUACAUGUUCGGUUGUGUCUUGCAUGCUAUAUAUCUUGUUGGAAUCUUAUGUGUUGAUAAGCUUUACUGCAAGUAAUUAUGGGGACGGUACUCUUCAGUGUAAUGAGUGUGUUGCCCUAUAAUUCUCAUGAAUGCUUAACAAUGACGAAGACUGGAAAACUAAGAAGUGUCGAAAGUUAAUCUCAUGGCCAAUUCAGAUCCUUCCCAACUCCAGUAUGAUUAUACAACUUUACAAAGUAUUUGCUCUAGUGGGAGAAUGUAAGUUCUAUUUGAGAGCAAACACUUUGUGAUUUGUACAAAGUCUUUUGGGACGAUAAGGAGAUUAACCUUAUCACAUGUGGCAGACUUAUAAGGAGUUGUAUUACUUAGGUAUACAAGUCAGAAACAUUCUUAGAUAAACUAGAACUCUUCUAGCUGAUUUAUGCACAAGUAAUCUUCGGUGAUAAAGUUCAUCUUUGAUAGGGUUUACUUAAUGGGAGGACUCCUAAUCAAAGACCAUCACCUAUAGUAUAUAACUGAGGUCCCUGUGCUCUCACUAAAUACCUGCAAGUAUACAGAAAUCCUCAAGCCCCAUUGAGUGAGCCUUGCUUCCGGACAGUGCAGAGACACAGAAGAGCCUCAGUUCUUUACCCUAUUUCUGAGACGAUGUCUUCAUCAGGUUAGUGGUUAGAUUGGUAUAUGAGUCAGUCGUUAUAUAUGUAUAUAACCUAAAGAAUUAACUUAC
rnacentral:lncRNA from 1 species